AACGAACGCUGGCGGCAUGCCUAACACAUGCAAGUCGAACGAGACCUUCGGGUCUAGUGGCGCACGGGUUCGUAACGCGUGGGAACCUGCCCUUAUGUUCGGACUAACUCCCCGACAGGGGUGCUAAUACCGGAUAAUGUCUUCUGACCAAAGAUUUAUCGCCUUUGGAUGGGCCCGCGUUGGAUUAGCUAGUUGUUAGGGUAAAAGCCUACCAAGGCGACGAUCCAUAGCUGGUCUGAGAGGAUGAUCAGCCACACUGGGACUGAGACACGGCCGAGACUCCUACGGGAGGCAGCAGUGGGGAAUAGUGGAAAAUGGGCGAAAGCAUGAUGCAGCAAUGACGGGUGAGUGAUGAAGGCCUUAGGGUUGUAAAGCUCUUUUAACCGGGAUGAUAAUGACAGUACCGGGAGAAUAAGCUACGGCUAACUCCGUG
rnacentral:rRNA from 1 species